UUAGUGGCGAACGGGUGAGUAACAUAUCGGAACGUACCCAGUAAUGGGGGAUAACUAGUCGAAAGACUGGCUAAUACCGCAUACGCCCUGAGGGGGAAAGCGGGGGAUCGAAAGACCUCGUGUUAUUGGAGCGGCCGAUAUCUGAUUAGCUAGUUGGUGGGGUAAAGGCCUACCAAGGCGACGAUCAGUAGCUGGUCUGAGAGGACGACCAGCCACACUGGAACUGAGACACGGUCCAG
rnacentral:rRNA from 1 species